UUCCCUCUAUGGAAUCAGGUACCCAUUCCCGCCAACUGGGUCGACUUGGGGAAAUGAGAUGCGCUACAGGGGUAUCGAACCCGUGCGCCUAACGGUUCGGACGCCAAAUAUAAAGGACGCCCUUCUUCGUCUAUUGCGAAGAAGAAAGACCAAAUAUUCAAAGACAAUUUCCAGGAAUAUCUGUGAUAGAGACAAACAAGGAGCUUGGAAGACGCUGGUCACGCCUGAAAGACCGAUCCAUUUUCCAGCUGAAAUCUUUUGUCUAUCGAUACCGCUGCUGGAGGGUUGGUUCCACAGAUUGCUAAUUAAAUUCUAAGACAGUGAUUCUCAAAGUGUAGUUUUAUGUCAACUUAUUACUAUACUACUGCAGGGAUGGGAGUUCUCCGUCCGGGGGACGGAUUUCCGUCCUGCGAAAAAAUCUCAGGACGGAACUGGGACGGAAAGUAAAAUUCAAAAUGUUCACGGAUUACGAAGGACCAGGGACUAUAAAUAAAAAAGCGAAAAUUUCUCGUAUCGUGAACGAUACCAUACGCUAGUGGUAAUAGGUAGAGGAUUCGUUAGGAAUGCUCGGGGCCCGGGGCCGACCAUCCGCGCGGGGCCUGGGUAAUGGAGUACGUGUAUCAACAUCCCUAUUGAUAUGAUGCCGGAAGCACUGAUUUAUAUGCCGUUGGAUUAAUUUCGCGAAAUAACGCACCAAUUUAGUAUUUUAAUUGUUCGUAACCUUUCCCACCGUCUGUGAUAGUACCGGCUUUUUCUUACCUUUUUCUUAAAGGACAACAUGAAAAUUCCACACACAUCAACAUUAACAUUAGCAUGGUCACUGACGCAAAGCAGGCGACAGUGAGUCUCGUCUCGGCAUACACACAUCAGUCCAUAAAUACAUGUGACCCUAACAAAUUGAGAUAAGUCUCUGAUCAUUGGUCACGCUAGACCAGUGUUUCCAUUGCCAUGGCAACGUCAACAUCAACUUCCAUGGCGCGAUCGAGAAAACUGCGCAAAAACAAAAACACGCGAUCAAACAGAGCAUAUCAUGCCGCCCGAGUAAGAUGGGAACGAUAUCGAGAAGAAAGGAAGAACAACCCUGUGCAGGCGUGCAAGUUCACCUAUAAACAGCUAUUAAAAAUACUGCGGGCAGUGGUAUGCCGCAUCUGUGCAGAACAGCAGAAGGCCAGAUGCAACUCAUCUACUGGCCGAAUGGAUGUUCGCAAAAUUGUAUGAUCCAGUGCGAAAACUGCCGAGCGAUAACAAAAUUAUAAAAUUGUAAGUAUAACUUCAUAAGCUGACCAGCCUUUUCUCCCUCUUCCACUGAGAAAGCUAUUAACAUGGAAAAAUGGAGGCCGAGAGUGAGUCUCGUCUCGGCAUACAGACAUCAGUCCAUAAAUACAUGUGACCCUAACGAAUUGAGAUAAGUCUCUGAUCAUUGGUCACGCUAGACCAGUGUUUCCAUUGCCAUAGCAACGUCAACAUCAACUUCCAUGGCGCGAUCGAGAAAACUGCGCAUAAAUAUAAAAACGCGUUCCAAUAGCGCCUACCACGCAGCGCCAAUAAAAUGGCAACGAUAUCGAGAAGAAAGGAAGAACAACCCUGUGCAGGCGUGCAAGCUUACCUAUAAACAGCUAUUAAAAAUACUGCGGGCAGUGGUAUGCCGCAUCUGUGCAGAAGGCCAGAUGCAACUCAUCUACUGGCCGAAUGGAUGCUCGCAAAAUUUUAUAAUCCAGUGCGAAAACUGCGGAGCGAUAACAAAAUUAUAAAAUUGUGAGUAUAACUUCAAGCUGACCAGCCUUUUCUCCCUCUUCCACUGAGAAAGCUAUUAACAUGGAAAAAUGGAGGCCGAGAGUGAGUCUCGUCUCGGCAUACAGACAUCAGUCCAUAAAUACAUGUGACCCUAACGAAUUGAGAUAAGUCUCCUGAUCAUUGGUCACGCUAGACACGUGUUUCCAUUGCCAUAGCAACAUCAACAGCCAAACAUCAACAGCUAUGGCGAGAGCGAAGAACCAUCAGCGCAGCAACCAACAGCGAGGCUAUAACACUGCGUCGCAUGCGGGGCGGGUUAAAUGGAUGAAAUAUAGAGAAGCACAGAAGAACAAUAAGCCUGUCGACGAUGCUAUUUCCCGUACCGGCGUAUUGUACGAGCUCGCCGUAAUCUGCCGCGUCUCGUCUCGGCAUACACACAUCAGUCCAUAAAUACAUGUGACCCUAACGAAUUGAGAUAAGUCUCUGAUCAUUGGUCACGCUAGACCAGUGUUUCCAUUGCCAUGGCAACGUCAACAUCAACUUCCAUGGCGCGAUCGAGAAAACUGCGCAAAAACAAAAACUCGCGCUCAAACCGGGCCUACCAUGCAGCGCCAAUAAAAUGGCAACGAUAUCGAGAAGAAAGGAAGAACAACCCUGUGCAGGCGUGCAAGCUUACCUAUAAACAGCUAUUAAAAAUACUGCGGGCAGUGGUAUGCCGCAUCUGUGCAGAACAGCAGAAGGCCAGAUGCAACUCAUCUACUGGCCGAAUGCAUGUUCGCAAAAUUUUAUAAUCCAGUGCGAAAACUGCGGAGCGAUAACAAAAUUAUAAAAUUGUGAGUAUAACUUCAAGCUGACCAGCCUUUUCUCCCUCUUCCACUGAGAAAGCUAUUAACAUGGAAAAAUGGAGGCCGAGAGUGAGUCUCAUCUCGGCAUACAGACAUCAGUCCAUAAAUACAUGUGACCCUAACGAAUUGAGAUAAGUCUCCUGAUCAUUGGUCACGCUAGACACGUGUUUCCAUUGCCAUAGCAACAUCAACAGCCAAACAUCAACAGCUAUGGCGAGAGCGAAGAGCCAUCAGCGCGGCAACCAACACUAACACUGCGUCGCAUGCGGCGCGGGUUAAAUGGAUGAAAUAUAGAGAAGCACAGAAGAACAAGCCUGUCGACGAGUGGAGGUUUACUUACAAACAAAUUCUUAAACUCCUGCGUGCAGUUAAGUGUCGCCAUUGUUCAGUGGGUCAUUUCACACUUUCAUUAUCCAGUGCAGCAACUGCGGGGCGAUAACGAAGUUUUAAAAAUUGUGGCGUCAUCAGCAAUUUGUAGGUAGAUGCAAAAGUCGUGAAUAUAACUUCCAGCUGGCCAGCCUUUUCUCCCUCUUCCACUGAGAAAGCUAUUAACAUGGAAAAAUGGAGGCCGAGAGUGAGUCUCGUCUCGGCAUACAGACAUCAGUCUAUAAAUACAUGUGACCCUAACGAAUUGAGAUCGAACUGAUCAUUGGUCACGCUAGACACGUCUUUCCAUUGGCUUAGCCUCGUCAACUGACAUCGAAGCAAACAACACUCAUGGCAAGAUCGAAAAAACAUCUGCGCCUGAACAAGAGGACGCGUUCCAGCGUUCCAACAUCGCGUCCCAUGCGGCAAGGAUGCGAUGGAAAAAGUGGAGAGAACUACAAAGUAAUGGAACAGUCAACACCAUCCCUGUGCAGUCGUACCGCAAGUUAUUUACCUAUACUCAACUGAAAAAAAUAUUACGGUCAGUUGUUUGCCGCGUUUUGUGUCGAAGGACAGAUGCAGAUACUCAAUUGGACAAAUGGUUAUAAUGAAAAUUUUAUCAUCCAGUGUGAGAAAUGCGGAGGGAUCACCAAAUUAUAAAACCAAAUGCAAAAAUUGUGAGUUUAAUUUCAAGCUGACCAGCCUUUUCUCCCUCUUCCACUGAGAAAGUCAUGUCGGAUGAUGUAAAAAGAAGUGACUAAAGAUGCAGGCACUCAGACUACAAGAAUAUACUUUUACCCAGUUCGUGACUUUGCUAAUGAAGUGCGUUGUAACUAUUCGUGUUUUUGCUUUUAUUAGCACUCUGCAUCUUCUGGUUCAAUUGUACUUAAAAGCAACUGCACAGAAUUAUUUAGCGACUUCUGGCAUUUUAUAUAGUAGCUUGACAAGAUCUGUCAGCCCUGAAUUCAUAAAAUAAAAACUCAAGAGUGAUGGCUUUUUCUUUUCACAGCCGUCGCGCCCAUCCCGUUCCCCUCGGCAGGACUGCAGUUGCACCAUGCUGCUUCACAUGAAGUCAUCCAUCUUUGCGAUGCAGUUGAUUUCAAAUUAAAAUAUUUUCAAUAAAAAUUCAUUUUCAUGACUGUUACUUGAUAUAAUCGGUUUAAUGUCACCUUUACGAUUCAUCUGAUGUCACAAUCAAACAGGGAUAGGAGUUCUCCGUCCGGGGGACGGAUUUCCGUCCUGCGAAAAAAUCUCAGGACGGAACUGGGACGGAAAGUAAAAUUCAAAAUGUUCACGGAUUACGAAGGACCAGGGACUAUGAAUAAAAAA
rnacentral:lncRNA from 1 species